AACGCACCUUGCGCUCCUUGGUAUUCCGAGGAGCAUGCCCGCUUGAGUGUCUUGAUAUCAUCAAACGCCCCUGCCUUUUCUGGUGGGUCGGCGAUUUGGACUUGGACGUGCUGCUGGGCGCUCUGCGCUCGGCUCGUCUUGAAUGCAUUAGCUUGGACUUGUUCCUAAGGCUUCAUGGCGUGAUAAUUAUCUACGCUUUGUACUGUCUGUGGAAUAUCUAUGAGUCUAGCUUCUAACUGUCCUCUGGACAAUCUUUCAAUCUUUGACCUCAAAUCAGGUAGGACUACCCGCUGAACUUAA
rnacentral:rRNA from 1 species